GGGCUGGAAAAGGAUAUCAGUGAAGAGAGAAAUUCCUGGAGAAUCAUUUGACAACGAAUAUGAGAUGCAGGAGACUUGGGAACCCUCGGUUAAGCAGGUGAAGCAGGAGCAGCCAGUUAUGGACACAGAAAUUGGCAACACACAUGAAGGACAGUUUGCGCCAAACACAGCAUCGAAGCAUGAGGCAGAGGAAUGGAGCCGGGACUCGGACAGUGGGAUUGUCGA